rnacentral:rRNA from 1 species
GAUGAACGCUAGCGGCAGGCUUAAUACAUGCAAGUCGAGGGACAGCACAGGUAGCAAUACUGGGUGGUAACCGGCAAACGGGUGCGGAACACGUACACAACCUUCCUUUAAGUGGGGGAUAGCCCAGAGAAAUUUGGAUUAAUACCCCGUAAUAUAGUUGAAUGGCAUCAUUUGAUUAUUAUAGCUACGGCGCUUAAUGAUGGGUGUGCGGCUGAUUAGAUAGUUGGCGGGGUAACGGCCCACCAAGUCUACGAUCAGUAGCUGAUGUGAGAGCAUGAUCGGCCACACGGGCACUGAGACGCGGGCCCUACGCCUACGGGAGGCAGCAGUAAGGAAUAUUGGUCAAUGGACGCAAGUCUGAACCAGCCAUGCCGCGUGAAGGAUUAAGGUCCUCUGGAUUGUAAACUUCUUUUAUUUGGGACGAAAAAGGGCCUUUCUAGGUCAACUGACGGUACCAGAUGAAUAAGCACCGGCUAACUCCGUGCCAGCCGCCGCGGUAAAAC